GCUAGGCAUGGUGGUGCGUGCCUGUAAUUCCAGCUACUCAGGAGGCUGAGGCAGGAGCAUCACUUGAACCCAGGAGGUGAGGUUGCAGUGAGCAGAGAUAGUGCCACUGCACUCCAGCCUGGGUAAUGGAGUGAGACUCUGUCUCAA
rnacentral:SRP_RNA from 1 species